rnacentral:rRNA from 1 species
AUACGUAGGGGGCAAGCGUUGUCCGGAAUUACUGGGCGUAAAGGGCGUGUAGGCGGCCGAGCAAGUCAAGUGUGAAAAGCCCCGGCUUAACCGAGGCAUUGCACAUGAAACUGCUUGGCUUGAGUGCAGGAGAGGGAAGUGGAAUUCCUAGUGUAGCGGUGAAAUGCGUAGAUAUUAGGAGGAACACCAGUGGCGAAGGCGACUUCCUGGACUGUAACUGACGCUGAGGCGCGAAAGCGUGAGUAGCAAACAGGAUUAGAUACCCUGGUCGUCCACGCCGUAAACGAUGGGUACUAGGUGUGGGUAGUUCACUCUAUCCGUGCCGCAGCAAACGCAAUAAGUACCCCGCCUGGGGAGUACGGCCGCAAGGUUGAA